GACGAACGCUGGCGGCGUGCUUAACACAUGCAAGUCGAACGGUAAGGCCCUUCGGGGUACACGAGUGGCGAACGGGUGAGUAACACGUGGGUGAUCUGCCCUGCACUUCGGGAUAAGCCUGGGAAACUGGGUCUACUACCGGAUAGGACCACUGCCUGCAUGGGUGGUGGUGGAAAGCUUUUGCGGUGUGGGAUGGGCCCGCGGCCUAUCAGCUUGUUGGUGGGGUGAUGGCCUACCAAGGCGACGACGGGGAGCCGGCCUGAGAGGGUGACCGGCCACACUGGGACUGAGAUACGGCCCAGACUCCUACGGGAGGCAGCAGUGGGGAAUAUUGCACAAUGGGCGCAAGCCUGAGGCAGCGACGCCGCGUGAGGGAUGACGGCCUUCGGGUUGUAAACCUCUUUCAGCACCGACGAAGCGCAAGUGACGGUAGGUGCAGAAGAAGGACCGGCCAACUACGUGCCAGCCGCCGCGGUAAGAC
rnacentral:rRNA from 1 species